UGGGUAGAGUCCAGGUUGGCGGGUCCUGGGGCGGAGUCAGGAUAGGGCGAUCCUGGAAGCUGGGCUUCAGAAGCGUCCAGAUAGGGUCUCUCUCUCUGCCACCCAGGCCAGAGUGCAGUUGACGCAGGGCAGGGGAGCCCCGAAGUGGAGCAUAGUGUGUCCGGAACUGGUGGGUUCUUGGUCUCACUGACUUCAAGAAUGAAGCCGUGGACCCUCACGGUGCAGGAAUGAGAGGCAGCAGCCGGGGAAGCCAGGGUCUCCGGAAGUCCUUGUCUCUGGGCGGUGAUCCAGAGAGAGAGAGAGAACACGAUUGUCUCAGCAAUGGGUCUUCUUCUGAGUCUUGAAGGAGCACUUCCAGAGCCUCUCAGUGUUAAACAUCGUGUUGUGAAUGACUCCGUGAGCUCUGACCCAGUGACCUUGGGGAUAAAGGAGGGGAGGUACGGAUAAGCUCUUCGAAUGGAUGUUGCCGGGGUGUCAGUGUUCUUUGAGGGCACAGACUAUGUGUCACUAAAGAAAGAGCCCAGUGCCUUUUCUCAUUGCUCAAGAGAUUGAAGGGGUAGUAAGAAAAGAUGUUAAGUUAUAAACACGUUUCAGUUUUGGUACCAGUUGAACCAAUUUACGUUUUGAAGAGGAAAGAGUCUUGCCUACAAUGUCAGCCCCCGGGUUUUCCUUCUGCUUAUGGAAUCCAGGCAAUGGGCAAAGAGAAAAAGAAAACUAAGGAAUCAGCCAGGUGCAGUGGCUCAUGCUUGUGAUCUUGGCACUUUGGGAAGCUGAGGCAGGUGGACUUCUUGAGUGCAGCAGUUCAAGACCAGCCUGGCCAACAUAGUGAGACCCCGUUUCUACAAAAAAUACAAAAAGUUGCUGAGCAUGGUGACAUGCACCUGUAGUCCCAGUUACUUGGGAGGCUGAGGUGGGAGAACUACUUCAUCCCAGGAGGCUGAGGCUGCAGCGAGCCAUGAUCGUGCCACUAUACUCCUGCCUGGGUGGCAGAGUGAGGCCCUGUCUCAAAAGAAAACAAAAAAGAUAAAAAGAAAACUAGGGAAUCUAGACAGCAUAAGUUUAUAUAUAUAAUAAAGAACUGAGAUAGAA
ensembl:lncRNA LINC02018 long intergenic non-protein coding RNA 2018